rnacentral:rRNA from 1 species
UACGUAGGCGGCAAGCGUUGUCCGGAAUUAUUGGGCGUAAAGGGAGCGCAGGUGGGACGGUAAGUCCGUCUUAAAAGGCAGGGGCUCAGCCCCUGUAAGGGAUGGAAACUAUCGAUCUUGAGUGCCGGAGAGGAAAGCGGAAUUCCCAGUGUAGCGGUGAAAUGCGUAGAUAUUGGGAAGAACACCAGUGGCGAAGGCGGCUUUCUGGACGGCAACUGACACUGAGGCUCGAAAGCCAGGGGAGCGAACGGG